rnacentral:rRNA from 1 species
GAUGAAUGCUGGCGGCGUGCCUAACACAUGCAAGUCGAGCGGCAGCGCGGAGAGUUCACUCUCUGGCGGCGAGCGGCGGACGGCUGAGUAACGCGUGGGAACGUGCCCCAAAGUGAGGAAUAACUGCCCGAAAGGGUGGCUAAUGCCGCAUAUGAUCUUCGGAUUAAAGGAUUUAUCCGCGUUGGGAGCGGCCCGCGUCGGAUUAGGUUGUUGGUGAGGUAAUGGCUCACCAAGCCGACGAUCCGUAGCUGGUCUGAGAGGAUGAUCAGCCAGACUGGGACUGAGACACGGCCCAGACUCCUACGGGAGGCAGCAGUGAGGAAUCUUCCACAAUGGGCGAAAGCCUGAUGGAGCAACGCCGCGUGCAGGAUGAAGGCCUUCGGGUUGUAAACUGCUUUUAUAAGUGAAGAAUAUGACGGUAACUUAUGAAUAAGCACCGGCUAACUACGUGCCAGCCGCCGCAGUAA